GCCAUCAGCCCGCAUCUCCGCUCGCACACCAGGCGCCGCUCCCCCGCUCCCCCGCUCCAACCGCCUCUCCUCCGCUCCCCUCCCCUCUCACGAACCCUAGUGCCGCCACACCCCGUGCAGCGGCCGCAUCCCUUCCCGCUCUCCACUCGCCGCGCAGCCGCCGCAUCCCUGCCCGCUCUCCACCCACCUCAGUCGCCCCCUCCCACACCUCUCCUCUGCCCCGAGACCCCCAGCCACACAACCCCAACUCCGGCGGUCUCCUCUCCCUCCAGCGCCGCCGCUCUACCCUCUUCCGUGACCCUCACCUUCCUUCCUCUUCAAAGGAAGGGAUGGGAAGGGAAGGGGAGGGGAGGCCCCAGAUCAAGCGGAGCGACACAGCGGCACCGGCACGGGUGCGCCGUCGUCUACCUGGUCCUCGAACCGGCCGUUCCCCUACUGACCAUGGCCUCCUCCCCCUCUCUCUGUAUCUCCCACACGGCGGCGCGGUGCAACCGGCGACGAUGGCUUUCUGGCAGGCACGCCACUUCCUGUUUUGCGGCGUGUGCGGCACCCUCCUCGACUUCAACUCCCAAGCAUCCUUGUGUGUUGUGUCUGAAAAUCCCGUGGCUAAUGCAAGACAUGCCCCUUGUUUUCUCAAAAUCAAUGAAUGGUUCCAGGCAAAUAACUAGGUCUGCAAGAAUAAUUUUAUACGUUCAAUGCUCAUUCAGUUUGGUGCUUGUUUGAAUGUUUCUCCAUUAAGCUUUCUUAGACUCCUCGAAUUCAACUGAGCCAGCGGUUAUGAAUUCACAGUAUACUUGAUAUACUCCUCAAAUUCAACUGAGCCCGCGGUUAUGAAUUCACAGUAUACUUGAUAUAGGGCAAUAUCGAUGUCUUCUGAACCUUUAGAUCAGUAUUUCAAAAGAGCAUCAACAGAGUGAGAGUUCAUUUCUUUAGAGCAUUUGUUAUAAUCCACCAUUUUGUAUUUGCCAAUUGCCAUCAACUGAGUGGAAGUUCAUUUCUUUAGAGCAUUUGUUAUAAUCCACCAUUUUGUAUUUGCCAAUUGCCUUAAUUUUUCUCUAUCCACUAGGCCCUCGGCAUUCUUAGAAGGUCGUCUCAUAAUUUCUGUGAUUCUUCCCUCUAUAGAUGGCUUAAAAUGGAGGCUUGCAUGCCCAAGGCAGGUGGUUAAGGCCCUCUUUAGUUGGUGUGGUAGUGGUGAGUGGAAUGCACGAUGCAGCAGCCUGGAGAAGUGGCCAACACGGCUUAGGAAGCGCCCCACCUGUGAAGCGAUACAUCUGAUGCCAACAUACCAAGGGACUUGAACUCAUGGACAAGGCAUCAUCCUUAUUGCAAGAUAUAAUCCUGGCCGGCGGAAGUACAGUGACACAAAGAACCCGGGCGUCGUCUGCUUCCUGCAUCGGCAAGCAAGCGGCGGAGCUUCCAACGGGCAGAAAUGCAUGCGUGUUGGACUUAUGACACAACUGAACUACAACAGUGAGUUCACCUAAGUAUCUUGAUGUGUCCUCGUAUAUGUUUGGCUUUUUGUUGGAAUGUUGUUGGUUGUCCUCUGAAGCGACACUUCUGAUGCCAACAUACCAAGGUGAGCUUCACCUACUUCCCCACUCUGUAUAUAUGCAAGCCUGUGUGAUGUACUCUGCUUCUUCCUCCCCUUUUAAUUAAUUAAUCUCUUACUAAGCAGAGCAUGCUCUUUAGGUUAAUAGCACAAACGAUAUAGUUGAAUUAGUCUUCUUUUACUGGUGGUUUUUGGUAACGACUUACUAUGCUUCACAUAUUUGGAAAAGCCUAUGUAAUUACGUUUCUGCUGUCAGAUUGUAUACCAUGUAAAUUACAGGAGCACAAUGUACCUUUGCCUUCAAAUACGAAAUUACUUGCGAGCAACUGAAUGCCAUCUAAAAUUCAUAGCUACAAAAGAAAGGCCUUGAUAUGCAAAUAACUCUCAUUUUAAAUCGUGUAGAGUGCAGGUACCAACUUGUCCUGCUUCAAUGAUCUGUGGCUCCGAAGGGAAUUUACUACUAGGAACAUAUGCAAUGUUUGGUUAUCUAUGUCCAUCUAACUGUCAAAAACAUCUGUGGAAUGCAAAAUGGACUGUGUAAUACUUCUUGAAGAGGCAAUGCUUGUUAUCUGUAUGCAAGUUUCUAACCGCAUUAGCAGGAAAAAGUUUGGUUUCUGUUAGUGUAAUCUUCAAUAUAUCAUUUUUGCUGCUUGGAACCGGACCUUCGAUCUUCUGUUCCGCAUGAUAUUUAUUCUCCGGUGAAGUAGUAAAAUAAAUGCAUAGUCUGCCGGCCCUCGCUAAGAGCCCAGCUGAUUUAAAAUGUGCCAGUGUGCUCCUUCUAUAUCUACAUGUGAUGCACAUUUAUGCCUGACCAAUCCAUUGGAUUGAAUUUGUACUGCAGGUUUUACUAAAAAAAUCCAUUACCAUCACAAGUUGUAUGUGGCACAGGUGCUUAUUUAGGCAAUGCGUAGUCUUAAUGUGAGGAGGUGCCGAGAUACACGAGGGGUUGGAGCAGGACUGCAGGAGGAGGCGAGGAUAUGUUUUGUUUCAGAUCCACCUGAUUAAUCCCAAAUUUUGCAAGUUUGGAUUACUCUGAGCAAUUCUCUCCGGAGUUGAGAGUACUCUGAGCACUGCCCAUAGCGCGCCACGACGACUGUUUGCACAUCAGGAGCCUCGCGACGCAGUCCUCAUAUGACCACAUCCUCAGAAGACAAUAACAAGUCUGCUUAUUCAUGCAUGCACACCCUCAGAAGACCACAAUCGGCCUGAGAAAUCUUCUCUGCUCAAACUAUGUAUGAUUAUCUACAUGAGGCAUCUCUGCCUAUGUUGCUUGCUUUUUGAAAGCAUUGUAAAUGGCUAUCAAAACUUCUUAUAACGCUAUGUAUCAGCAUCGUACCUAAGUAUAUAUUUCCUUGUGACUAAAUAUUCUGACGAGCUUGCUUCGAA